rnacentral:rRNA from 1 species
GACGAACGCUGGCGGCGUGCUUAACACAUGCAAGUCGAACGGUUCACGUCUUUCGGGGCGUGGAGAGUGGCGGACGGCUGAGUAACACGUGGGUGACCUGCCCUCGAGCGGGGGAUAACUGCCCGAAAGGGUGGCUAAUACCGCAGAUCUCCGUGCUUCGGUGUGCGGAGUGAACGUUCCGGGGUUCGAGGAGGGGCCCGCGGCCUAUCAGCUUGUUGGUGGGGUGAUGGCCUACCAAGGCGACGACGGGUAGCCGGCCUGAGAGGGCGACCGGCCACACU